ACGGCGUCGAGCGGCGGACGGGUGAGUAAUGCCUGGGAAAUUGCCCUGAUGUGGGGGAUAACCAUUGGAAACGAUGGCUAAUACCGCAUAAUAGCUUCGGCUCAAAGAGGGGGACCUUCGGGCCUCUCGCGUCAGGAUAUGCCCAGGUGGGAUUAGCUAGUUGGUGAGGUAAGGGCUCACCAAGGCGACGAUCCCUAGCUGGUCUGAGAGGAUGAUCAGCCACACUGGAACUGAGACACGGUCCAGACUCCUACGGGAGGCAGCAGUGGGGAAUAUUGCACAAUGGGCGCAAGCCUGAUGCAGCCAUGCCGCGUGUAUGAAGAAGGCCUUCGGGUUGUAAAGUACUUUCAGCAGUGAGGAAGGUGGUGCCGUUAAUAGCUGUAUCAUUUGACGUUAGCUGCAGAAGAAGCACCGGCUAACUCCGUGCCAGCAGCCGCGGUAAUACGGAGGGUGCGAGCGUUAAUCGGAAUUACUGGGCGUAAAGCGCAUGCAGGUGGUUUGUUAAGUCAGAUGUGAAAGCCCGGGGCUCAACCUCGGAAUUGCAUUUGAAACUGGCAGACUAGAGUACUGUAGAGGGGGGUAGAAUUUCAGGUGUAGCGGUGAAAUGCGUAGAGAUCUGAAGGAAUACCGGUGGCGAAGGCGGCCCCCUGGACAGAUACUGACACUCAGAUGCGAAAGCGUGGGGAGCAAACAGGAUUAGAUACCCUGGUAGUCCACGCCGUAAACGAUGUCUACUUGGAGGUUGUGGCCUUGAGCCGUGGCUUUCGGAGCUAACGCGUUAAGUAGACCGCCUGGGGAGUACGGUCGCAAGAUUAAAACUCAAAUGAAUUGACGGGGGCCCGCACAAGCGGUGGAGCAUGUGGUUUAAUUCGAUGCAACGCGAAGAACCUUACCUACUCUUGACAUCCAGAGAAGCCAGUAGAGAUACAGGUGUGCCUUCGGGAGCUGUGAGACAGGUGCUGCAUGGCUGUCGUCAGCUCGUGUUGUGAAAUGUUGGGUUAAGUCCCGCAACGAGCGCAACCCUUAUCCUUGUUUGCCAGCACUUCGGGUGGGAACUCCAGGGAGACUGCCGGUGAUAAACCGGAGGAAGGUGGGGACGACGUCAAGUCAUCAUGGCCCUUACGAGUAGGGCUACACACGUGCUACAAUGGCGCAUACAGAGGGCAGCCAACUUGCGAAAGUGAGCGAAUCCCAAAAAGUGCGUCGUAGUCCGGAUUGGAGUCUGCAACUCGACUCCAUGAAGUCGGAAUCGCUAGUAAUCGUGGAUCAGAAUGCCACGGUGAAUACGUUCCCGGGCCUUGUACACACCGCCCGUCACACCAUGGGAGUGGGCUGCAAAAGAAGUGGGUA
rnacentral:rRNA from 1 species